AGAGGUUACGGUUAGAGCAAUGGUUAUGGUUACGUUUUCAGGAAUUAGGAUCAGGUUAUAAUUUAUUUAUUUUGCGUGUGUCCAGCUACAGUUGGGGUUAGGCACGUUUGGUUAGGCGCAUUUGGUUAGGAGUGUUCGGUUAGGAGCGUUUUGGUUAGGAGUGCUGACAUAUUUAGCAUCUAAUAUCUGAAUUUCUGACAGAUUUUCUAAAUUUUAAGGGAACAAAAAAAACAAUGUGUGCUUAUGCAAUCAGACGUGCAUCCGCUGAAAUCUGUCAUAAAUCCAUUCAUAAACAAUGACGUGUGAAGUUUUGUGUUUAAAACGGGCUCCGCUGCGAUUUCACUAUGCCUGGGGAAGCCCAAUACUGAGCCCCCUUAUGGAGCUCAGUUCAGGGGAAAAGUCUCUGGAAGUUUGUCACUUUGCACGAAAAUAGUGCACAUCACCCGGGGAAGCCCAAAGCUGAAAGCUCUUAUGGAGCUCAGUUCAAGGGAAAUGUCUCUGGAAGUUGGUGAUUUUGUACGAAAAUAGUGCACCAUGCCUGUGGAAGCCCUUUGCUGAAAGCCCCUCUGGUUCUCAGUGUCUCUUGUUUUUUUUCUAAGUCCAAAAUUUUUUCUGUCCGGUUUUCACCUCCGGGGUGCAAGAACCAGGCACUUUUCCCAAUUUUGUAUACGACCCGAAGUGCACCCCGUCGACCACUUUCGUGCCUUGACCCUUGACUGGAAGACGUUUGCGCAUGGGGUUUAUCAGAGGGGUGCCGUUGGGCCAGUGAGCGAUCGUAGGAAUUGAAGGGGUCCAAGCACUUUAUGAUGGCGCUUAUGCUGGGAGACUCCGUCCGAGAGAAGAGACCCUGAAGGCAGUUUCUAUGUCUUUCUCUAGUGCUUGGAUACCCCUGGAGCUUCUGAUUUUUUUUCAUUUUCAUCAUUUAAAAAAAAAAAUUUUCUUUCAUUUUUCAG
ensembl:lncRNA